GACAGAGGGUGCAACCGUUGUUCGGAAUUACUGGGCGUAAAGCGCGUGUAGGCGGUCUUGUAAGUCGGAUGUGAAAGCCCCGGGCUCAACCCGGGAAGUGCACUCGAUACUGCGAGGCUAGAGUACUGGAGAGGUUGGUGGAAUUCUCGGUGUAGAGGUGAAAUUCGUAGAUAUCGAGAGGAACACCGGUGGCGAAGGCGGCCAACUGGACAGAUACUGACGCUGAGACGCGAAAGCGUGGGGAGCAAACAGG
rnacentral:rRNA from 1 species